UACGGGGGGGGCAAGCGUUGUUCGGAAUUACUGGGCGUAAAGGGCUCGUAGGCGGCCAACUAAGUCGGACGUGAAAUCCCUCGGCUUAACCGGGGGAACUGCAUCUGAUACUGGAUGGCUUGAGUUUGGGAGAGGGAUGCGGAAUUCCAGGUGUAGCGGUGAAAAUGCGUAGAUAAUCUGGAGGAACACCGGUGGCGAAGG
rnacentral:rRNA from 1 species